ACUCAAAGGAAUAGACGGGGGCCCGCACAAGCAGCGGAGCGUGUGGUUUAAUUCGAGGCUACACGAAGAACCUUACCUAGACUUGACAUGUGUACGAACGAGGGUGAAAGCCCGAGGGCCGCAAGGCGUACGCACAGGUGCUGCAUGGCUGUCGUCAGCUCGUGCCGUGAGGUGUUAGGUUAAGUCCUGUAACGAGCGCAACCCCCAGGUUCAGUUACACGCUGUCUGAACCGACUGCCCGUGACAAGCGGGAGGAAGGUGGGGAUGACGUCAAGUCAGCAUGGCCUUUAUGUCUAGGGCUACACACACGCUACAAUGGUCGGUACAAUGGGUCGCCAAGCCGCAAGGCGGAGCCAAUCCAGACAAAGCCGAUCUCAGUUCGGAUUGUGGGCUGCAACCCGCCCACAUGAAGUCGGAGUUGCUAGUAACCGCGCGUCAGCCAUAGUGCGGUGAAUACGUUCCCGGGCCUUGUACACACCGCCCGU
rnacentral:rRNA from 1 species